rnacentral:rRNA from 1 species
UACGGGGGGGGCAAGCGUUGUUCGGAAUUACUGGGCGUAAAGGGCUUGUAGGUGGCCAACUAAGUCAGACGUGAAAUCCCUCGGCUUAACCGGGGAACUGCGUCUGAUACUGGAUGGCUUGAGUGUGGGAGAGGGAUGCGGAAUUCCAGGUGUAGCGGUGAAAUGCGUAGAUAUCUGGAGGAACACCGGUGGCGAAGGCGGCAUCCUGGACCAACAC